rnacentral:ncRNA from 1 species
UAGCUUUUUUAUUAGUUAAAAGCAAAAUUACACAUGCAAGAAUCCCCAAGCCAGUGAAAAUACCCUUAAAAUCUUAAUGAUUUAAAGGAGUGGGUAUCAAGUUCACAUCAGUAGCUCAUUACACCUUGCCAAGCCACACCCCCACGGGAUACAGCAGUGACAAAAAUUAAGCAAUAAACGAAAGUUUGACUUAGUUAUGCAAUACACUAGGGUUGGUAAAUUUCGUGCCAGCCACCGCGGUCAUACGAUUAACCCAAAUUAAUAAAAAUCGGCGUAAAGAGUGUUUAAGUGAUAUAUUAAACUAAGAUUAAAUUUUAUCUAAGUUGUAAAAAACUAUAGAUAUUUAAAAACACAAUAAACGAAAGUAAUCUUAUUAAACCUGAACACACUACAGUUAAGACCCAAACUGGGAUUAGAUACCCCACUAUGCUUAACCAUAAACAUCAAAUAUUACAUUUACUAACAAAAUAUUUCGCCAGAGGACUACUAGCCACGGCUAAAAACUCAAAGGACUUGGCGGUGCUUUAUAUCCAUCUAGAGGAGCCUGUCCUAUAAUCGAUAAACCCCGAUAAACCUCACCAUUUCUUGCUAAUUCAGUCUAUAUACCGCCAUCUUCAGCUAACCUUUAUAAAGAAUAAAAGUAAGCGCAAUAAUUAUCAUAAAAACGUUAGGUCAAGGUGUAACCAAUGAAGUGGGAAGAGAUGGGCUACAUUUUCUUUUUCCAAGAACAUUUAAACGAAAGUUACUAUGAAAUUAUAGUAACCUAAGGAGGAUUUAGUAGUAAAUUAAGAAUAGAGAGCUUAGUUGAACAAGGCCAUGAAGCACGCACACACCGCCCGUCACCCUCCUUAAGUAUCAACAUUUCUGCCUUAAUUAUUGUAAAGAAAACAAAUUAUGAAAGGAGACAAGUCGUAACAAGGUAAGCAUACUGGAAAGUGUGCUUGGAAAA